CCGUACCUUCCCCCUCACUCGCUGACCCUCCCUCUCUCUCACUUACUCACUGUCCCUCCGUCCCUUGCAGCUGGAGGUGUUUAACAUCCUGUUUGUGACGAGCGAGAACAGCAGUCGGAAAUCCUACAUAGUGCACUGUGAGGAGUGUGCCCGUCAGCGAACCCCCCCAUUGCAGAAUGUGGUCAUCCUGGAGCAGUAUAAGAUUGAAGACCUGGUGCAGGUCUAUGACCAUUUCACUUUGGCGCCUCAGUCUAGCUCCUCCAGAUGACGAGAUCUUCAAAAGCCAUACCAAAUGCUUCUCACUGUUCGAGGUUCCUCUCCAGUCCAAUGGCACUGCAACCCUCUGCCCCCGCCAAACACCCCUGCCAUGGACUGUCCAACCAGCGACUGGGCUCGCCCAAUCACUAUGCGGAUCUUUGCAUCAGCCAAUCAACUAUGUGUUUACUCAACCUUAUCAUCAGCAGCUGCAGCUGCUGAUUGGCCGCGCAAGGUGGAAUAACAAGAUGGCCGCCUCCUCAGGUGGAACAACAAAAUGGCCGCCCCUCCCCUUCCCCGCAUUUGGCGACACCAAGGCGGCCAAUUGGCAGUUAAUGUUCUCGAACCUCUGUCACUUGACACUGCAGCAAAUACCACUUUGGCCUUCGAAGAUGGGAAGAGGAAGAGAAAGAAAAUGGAAUUAAAAAUAAACUUUUUCCUAUCAAAAAAAAUGUAAGCAUUAAGAAGUGGUUUUGGAUUGCUAAAUACGGGUUAUAGCAAGAAUUAUUUUUGUUGUAGCUUCUUGUAUGUGUUUCUAUGUAUGGUGUCACUUUAAUUUAGACAUACGAUCCCACAGUGAAAUUUCCACAUUUUAAAUUAUCAAUCACAUCAUCAUUCAAUUUACCUCCAUUUUUUAAAAAGUUUUUUUUCUAAUGUACAGUUUUGGUUUUAUUUAUGAAAUUCUCUAUUUAUUCACUCUAAUUGUCUCCCCUAAGGUGUCACAUUUUUAAAAAUUGUUUUGUUAAGGAAAACGCUUCUAACUACAAGGUUGGUGUGCUAGACUUUUUCUGUCUGUCUCACGCUUUCUCAUACUGUCUCUCACUUUCUCUGAUUCUUCUGCUCUGUCUCUCUCUCUCUGUCCCUCCUUGUCACAUCUAUCUUCUCUCCUUUGGCAUCUCCCUCCCUUACCCCAUUCCCCUAGCCGUGUCUCUCUUCCAUCGUUCCCUAUCCCUCUAUUUCUUAUUUUUCCUUGUUAUCUGUCUGUCUGUCUCUCUCUCUCUGUCUCUCUCUCUCUCUCUCUCCCUCCUUUUCUUCUGUUCCUCACUGGCCUUGCCUUUAUUCCAUUCCCAGGUGAUUAGGAGCAGCUGAGAACUCAAUAUGAGUGAGUUUGUUUUCCUGAAUUGUGUGCUAUUUUAAUUCUAAUUAAAAUUUUGCUCGGGGCUUUUUUAAGAACACGAGGUUACAUUUUAAGACGGAGUUGGAGGGUAGUUUUUUUUUGGUUUUUUUUUUGGAUUUUAUGAUGAGAAUAUUGUUUUGGAGUUGACUGCACUGUUUGAGACAAACUGAGCCAGAACUGUCUUAACUUUGUGAAUUUGUGUGACAUGAAUAAUAAAGCUUUUGAUAAACUUUA